UACGUAGGGUGCGAGCGUUAAUCGGAAUUACUGGGCGUAAAGCGUGCGCAGGCGGUUUCGUAAGACAGAUGUGAAAUCCCCGGGCUUAACCUGGGAACUGCGUUUGUGACUGCGAGACUCGAGUGUGGCAGAGGGGGGUGGAAUUCCACGUGUAGCAGUGAAAUGCGUAGAGAUGUGGAGGAACACCGAUGGCGAAGGCAGCCCCCUGGGUCAACACUGACGCUCAUGCACGAAAGCGUGGGGAGCAAACAGG
rnacentral:rRNA from 1 species